GAUGAACGCUGGCGGCGUGCCUAAUACAUGCAAGUCGAGCGAACGGACGAGAAGCUUGCUUCUCUGAUGUUAGCGGCGGACGGGUGAGUAACACGUGGAUAACCUACCUAUAAGACUGGGAUAACUUCGGGAAACCGGAGCUAAUACCGGAUAAUAUUUUGAACCGCAUGGUUCAAAAGUGAAAGACGGUCUUGCUGUCACUUAUAGAUGGAUCCGCGCUGCAUUAGCUAGUUGGUAAGGUAACGGCUUACCAAGGCAACGAUGCAUAGCCGACCUGAGAGGGUGAUCGGCCACCCUGGAACUGGGACACGGUCAAGAGUCCUACGGGAGGCAGCAGUAGGGAAUCUGCCGCAAUGGGCGAAAGCCUGACGGAGCAACGCCGCGUGAGUGAUGAAGGUCUUCGGAUCGUAAAACUCUGUUAUUAGGGAAGAACAUAUGUGUAAGUAACUGUGCACAUCUUGACGGUACCUAAUCAGAAAGCCACGGCUAACUACGUG
rnacentral:rRNA from 1 species